rnacentral:lncRNA from 1 species
CUGUCUGACAUACUGGGCUAAACAAUCUCAGACUAGUCAGGAGAGUCACAAAUUGGAUAAUUCCUGUGGAAAGACAUCUUAAAGGGUGGGAGAGCUUAAAGUAUUUUGCUUGGGGGCCCCAAAUGCAUUGAAAGGGCCCUUUUUUGCAGGAUAUGGUUUUGCAUUGUCUUUGAAAAUGGACAUUCCUGGAUGUUAGACACCACUAGAGGGCACUGUUCAGCUUACGCUCAGUCACUCAGCAGCAAGAGGGCUGUAAUUAGUUCUGAGAGCAGUUAGAAAUCAGUAAGGAACAGAACAUUAAAAAAUCUGUUUGCUGCCUUUUCCCUUCAAAUGUGUGUCUAUGAGAGAAAAGUGACUUUAUAUAUAUCAUAUAUCAUAUAUUUGACAGUACAUCUCAGGAUUUGACUGAGGAUAUCUUGCAUAUUGCCAAAAGUAAAAGCAAAAACACUUUUCUAAUGCAUCUGUGAUUUAAGAUAAAUCAUAAUUGGUACUGUUUACAAGUGCAUCUCAAAAGACCAGAAAAUAAUAAGGAAAAAAACUGUAAAAUAUUGUUUAGUAAACAGUCACCUUUUCUAUUAAUUAUGUUUAAACUGACAAGUUUAACACUUAUUUUUAUUUAAGGUUUUAAAUGAAAUAUUGUAGUAAACUGGGUUAAGGUUAGGAUUUAGUAUUUCUAGUUUUCAUGAGCUUUUAACCAAGUAAAACAAAAAUUAUUUGGAAUAUGUUACAUACAUGUAGUGUUUAUUAAAUUUGACAGACUUAAAUUAAAUUAUGAUAGCUAGUUUCUCAUGGUAUUUAGGUUCUCUGAGAUGCACUAGUAAUUCUGCCAAACAAGUCCAAUAAAUAUGAGAAUGUUUGAUGUUGUUGUUAGUUUUAUGUCAAUAUGAAAGUAGUAAAUAAUGAAUACCAAAAUAAAAAAAAAGUUUAAUACAAUCAUCAUUUUGAUCUUCCUUUUCUUAUACAGGAUAUUUUCUCCCAAAAAAAGAAAAGAUAAUAAAAGGGUUCAUCUUUCCAAACUGCACAAGCAGGCUUAAAGUAAACCCCUAUUUCAGGUAAUCUAUGCUGUGUUUCUUUGGUUUAUUUACAUGUGCAAUGUACUG